UCCGCCGCGGGGGCGGAAUCUGAAAUAAGCCAGAGGCAAACCCUCUGUCUGACGAACAGAAAUCACAUAUAAGGCAUGCUGGGACGGACGAGCUUGCAUACCAAAGCAAGUUUAAUACUGCCCGAAUCCCAGAAUGUAAAUGUAGCAGUUGGAUGAGGGGAAGGUUAUCGCU
rnacentral:ncRNA from 1 species